rnacentral:tRNA from 1 species
GCUGGAUUGGCGGAGUAGUCAAUCGCACCUCGCUGUAGACGAGGCGGCCUUCGGCCUACGGGAGUGCAAAUCUCUCAUCCAGCA